rnacentral:tRNA from 2 species
CGGGGCGUAGCGUAGCCCGGCUAGCGCGCUUGUUUCGGGUACAAGAGGUCGUGAGUUCAAAUCUCACCGCCCCGACCA